GACGUAGGGGGCCAGCGUUGUUCGGAAUUACUGGGCGUAAAGGGUGCGUAGGCGGGUCUUUUAAGUCAGGGGUGAAAUCCUGGAGCUCAACUCCAGAACUGCCUUUGAUACUGAGGAUCUUGAGUCCGGGAGAGGUGAGUGGAACUGCGAGUGUAGAGGUGAAAUUCGUAGAUAUUCGCAAGAACACCAGUGGCGAAGGCGGCUCACUGGCCCGAUACUGACGCUGAGGUGCGAAAGCGUGGGGAGCAAACAGG
rnacentral:rRNA from 1 species